UACGUAGGGGGCAAGCGUUGUCCGGAUUUAUUGGGCGUAAAGAGCGUGUAGGCGGCUUGGUAGGUCCGCUGUGAAAACUCGAGGCUCAACCUCGAGAUGUCGGCGGAAACCACUUGGCUAGAGUCCGGAAGAGGAGAGUGGAAUUCCCGGUGUAGCGGUGAAAUGCGCAGAUAUCGGGAAGAACACCCGUGGCUAAGGCGGCUCUCUAGUACGUGACUGACGCUGAGACGCGAAAGCGUGGGGAGCGAACAGG
rnacentral:rRNA from 1 species